UGAGCUAGCGAGGUUCCGGGUGUGACUAGGAACAUGGAGACAAAGAGCCCGAGAUGAGGGCCACCAACCGCGUGGGCUGAGAACUCUGCACAUGGGGUGCUGGACCGCAGACGUGGGAUUUGUAGUCCCGCCGAGUCCUGGCAGAGGGAGACCAGCUUGUCACCAGUGCCAAGUUUCCAAGCUCAGAGAGACAUGGCAACUGCCAUUGAAUUGCUGAAGAAGCUGGGAGCCUCUCGUAGCAGUGUCCAUGGUGGCGUUUAUGGAAUCGGACUCAGGGUCUUGCACAUUCUUGGCAAGCACUCUCCCUACUGUGCUCUGCUCCAAGCCCAGGCUAAGAAAGACCUCGCACUCGCCCAUCGAUAGGGAAAGAAACUG
rnacentral:lncRNA from 1 species